UGUAACACUACUGACCUAACAGUAGGCCAGAAGGAGGAUCAUCUACUUCUGGACCAAUGUUGACCACAGGCUAUGGAAGGCAGGACAACAAUCCACCCACAGAUGUCCACAGUCUAACUCCCAGAGCCUAUAAAUAUGGCACUUCACUUUGGCAAAAGGGACUUCACAGAUGUGAUUAAGAUACAGCAAGCUCCCUGAGGCUCAUAAGGAGACAUUUUGCCAAAAGAUACAUGGAUACCAGCUAAUGUUUGGAAAUGUAACAAAGCAUUUUCACUGAUAUCUCAUCUAAUACACAACAUCACGAAAUUAGGCAGCACAGCUACCAUUGCCUCUAUUCUAGAAGUAAGGGAUAUUAGUUCAUUACAAUUUUUCUCACCAUGAUCUAUGUGUCCUGCCACUCCUAACCAACAGCCUUUCCAGUCAACUUGCCAGUAAUCUGAAGCCUGUAAGUGCAAUGGACCAGCUAACUUGUGUUUUUCAAAGAUUUCAACUGCCAAAAAUAAAUGAGUGCUUAGGAUAGGGCUGGCACAAAGAUUUGUUUUGUUUGCUUUAUUUUUUCAAAAACUGUCACUUUGCUGGCUGCUGCUUUAUUUCUUAUUCUGCUCUAUGUUGAACUACACUUUUAAAAUUUUGGACAAAUCACUAUAACACAGGAGUCUUGUUCAAUUUGAGAAGUUAUGGAGACAGUCAAAUGUAAGAGGGAGGGUUCUCCCAAGAUCUCAAUAAAAUAAGAUUGC